CCACCAUACAAAUCAUCUUCUUCUUCUUUGUCGUCGACAAAAAGAAAAAACUCAAGCUGACUCCCAAUACAUCAGUUGCCUGAAAUCGCAUACAUCAUUGAAGCCCCCAAAUCAGUUACUGGAUUGAAAUCGCCGACGUCGAUUACAUUGAACCCCCAAAAUCAGUUGCUCGAUUGAAAUCGCGGACACUUCCCUUCCCUUGUUUGAGUCGAUUGCGUUCUGUCAGGCAACGAAAAAACUUCUACACCUCCAUCGAUUGACAUCGUAGAGGAAGAUGGGAGACGAUGAAAGAUGUUGAACGAGUUGGGUUUAGGAGACAGGGAAAUCGACAACUAACGAAUAGAUGGAUAGACAGAGACUGACGACGAGCUUGUGAGAGAGGAGAUCGACGACGAGAAAACUAGUGGAAGUCGGACGUCGGAGCUACGUAGGAGAUUUUGGAAGUGGGUACGCCAUGAGAGAGUUUUCUGUUGUCUUUUUCUUUUGAGGAUGAAGUGGAUUUUUUUUGUCAGGGCAGUUUUGGGACUCGAUGUAAAAAAGAUGGGAUUUGCAUAAUUCGU
rnacentral:lncRNA from 1 species